rnacentral:rRNA from 1 species
AUGGUGAGGCCGCACGCCGUGGUGGUGCCGCACCCGAGCUCCGGUAACAUCAACCCGGCGCUCCAGCUGGCCAAGCUGCUGCACCACCACGGCGUCUACAUCACCUUCGUCAACACCGAGCACAACCACCGCAUCAUGGAGGCCACCGAGGGCGCCGCCGCAGUGCGUGGCCACGAGGGGUUCCGGUUCGAGGCGAUCCCGGACGGGCUGGUGGAGGCUGACCGGGACGCAGAGGACUACGACCUCAUGCUGUCUGCCGCCACGAGCCAGCGGUCCGCGGAGCCGCUGAAGGAGCUCCUCCUGCGGCUCAACGGCACCCAGGGCAUGCCGCCGGUGACCUGCGUGCUGCCGACAUCGCUGAUGAGCUUCGCUCUGGACGUGGCGCGGGAGCUGGGCGUGCCGAGCAUGGUGCUCUGGGCUUGUAGCGCCGCAUCGCUGAUGACCCAAAUGCGGCUCCGGGAACUAAAGGAAAGAGGCUAUGUGCCACUCAAAGACGGGAGCUGCUUGACGAACGGACACCUGAGUGCGACAGUCGUCGACUGGAUCCCGGCGUGCCGCCGAUCAGCCUCGGAGACACCUCCAGCUUCCUCCGCACGACCAACCCGGACGACUUUGGCCUCCGUUUCAACAUCGUGGAGGCCAACGGCUGCACCAAGGCCGGCGCGCUCAUCCUCAACACCUUCGACGACCUAG